rnacentral:rRNA from 1 species
AGUCCGCACGAGCGCACCCCAACGUUUACGUUGCUAACGCGUGAAGGCGAGCACGUCUAGACGAACUGCCGUUGACAAAACGGAGGAAGGUGGGGAUGACGUCAAAUCAUCAUGCCCCUUAUGUUCUGGGCUACACACGUGCUACAAUGGCCGGUACAGACGGACGCAAAGCCGCGAGGUGGAGCAAAUCCUAAAAAGCCGGUCUCAGUUCGGAUUGCAGGCUGCAAUUCGCCUGCAUGAAGUCGGAAUCGCUAGUAAUCGCUGAUCAGCAGGCAGCGGUGAAUACGUUCCCGGGCCUU